UACAGGAGACCCCAUCUUUCCCAGAAAAGGGAAUUGAAAAUUUUACCCCAAAUUUAUAUGGAAAAUGUCCCCCGUAAAAGGCCCAAAACAAGAAACACAAAAGCACGAUCUCCAAAGUCUGCAACCUUCUAUCUGAAGCUGUGCUUCCCUCUCAGUUCCAUAGUGCUUUCUUGUUCUCUCCGCUGCAACACUCAAACCGAUCGCGGAGCCUCUGCGAAGCUCUAUGAACUCCUCUCUCGUUCUAUAUAGUUCUUGGUCUUGCCUCUGCAAUCAGGUCAUUCUAGAGAGGGAGUGAAGAGGGAGAAGCAGAGCUUUGAGAUGUUCACUAAUCGGCCUCAAAUUACAGAUUUUAGUUAUCCAGGUACUCUUAAAGUGUUAAAAAAUGAUUUUCUUAGGUUUUUAUCACUGUAUGAGAUUCCAAAAUUUGUUGAGAAUCUGGGAAUGGAGUAAUGGACCUCCGAUUUCAAGUUUUGGUGAAGAUUACGAGAAGGUUGAGUUCUCUCAUCUCUGGGUGUCUUUGAGGAGAUCUGAGAUUGUACACUGUUUUGCCGAUUUGGACUCUCUGAUGCAUAAUGAUCUCGUCGCCUCCUACCUCGCAUGAAAACAGGGGCUGCACCCCAUAUCUCUUAUUCCUCCUUCCUUCAAUCCUCUGGAAAGUGAUGCAACGACACUCCUAUGCAAAACAUAAGUAGGUGCUUCAUCAAAUGUAUAGGUUCGGCAUUUCAGAUGCCAUUGAUCUAAGAAUAACCAAGAGUGGCUGCUUGGAGGCGCUCGUCAAGUGUUCGACCAAAUGCUCCACGGAAACCUCAUCGUUUGACGUUUAUGUUUACAUUGCAAUGAAUUAUCUAAACAUACCUUGGAAAAUUUUUUUAAAUGUAAAAUUUUACGAGUAAGAUUUUACUUUACAUGUAAUAUUUACUUGUGAAAUUUUACAUCAAAACAAACGGAGCCAAAGGGAAACAAAGGUGAGUAAUCAAAUAAUUUUUCCUAUGUUUUA